AGGAAAAGAAACCAACAGGGAUUGCCUCAGUAGCGGCGAGUGAAGCGGCAAGAGCUCAGAUUUGAAAUCGUGCUUUGCGGCACGAGUUGUAGAUUGCAGGUUGGAGUCUGUGUGGAAGGCGGUGUCCAAGUCCCUUGGAACAGGGCGCCCAGGAGGGUGAGAGCCCCGUGGGAUGCCGGCGGAAGCAGUGAGGCCCUUCUGACGAGUCGAGUUGUUUGGGAAUGCAGCUCCAAGCGGGUGGUAAAUUCCAUCUAAGGCUAAAUACUGGCGAGAGACCGAUAGCGAACAAGUACUGUGAAGGAAAGAUGAAAAGCACUUUGAAAAGAGAGUGAAACAGCACGUGAAAUUGUUGAAAGGGAAGGGUAUUGCGCCCGACAUGGGGAUUGCGCACCGCUGCCUCUCGUGGGCGGCGCUCUGGGCUUUCCCUGGGCCAGCAUCGGUUCUUGCUGCAGGAGAAGGGGUUCUGGAACGUGGCUCUUCGGAGUGUUAUAGCCAGGGCCAGAUGCUGCGUGCGGGGACCGAGGACUGCGGCCG
rnacentral:rRNA from 1 species